rnacentral:rRNA from 1 species
UACGAGGGGUCCUAGCGUUGUUCGGAAUCAUUGGGCGUAAAGAGUCUGUAGGUGGCUAGAUAAGUCAGGUGUGAAAUCCCCGGGCUCAACCCGGGACGUGCAUUUGAUACUGUCUAGCUUGAGUAUGGAAGAGGCUAGUGGAAUUCUUGGUGUAGUGGUGAAAUACGUAGAUAUCAGGAGGAACACCGGUGGCGAAGGCGGCUAGCUGGUCCUAUACUGACGCUGAGAGACGAAAGCGUGGGGAUCAAACAGGAUUAGAUACCCUGGUAGUCCACGCCGUAAACGAUGGAUACUUGGUGUUGGAGGUAUUGACCCCUUCAGUGCCGAAGCUAACGCGUUAAGUAUCCCGCCUGGGGAGUACGGCCGCAAGGUUA